AAUGUCCAACAAAGUAGCAGACAUCUGCUACGAAAUUGCUGUAAAGGAACAGAAGGUGAAAGACUUGGAAAAUCAUAUAGAUCAAGAGCUGAAAUUCGCAAGUGGCCCCUUGGCAACAAGUAUGGAUGAUGUUUUGCAUGCUAAUAAAAUACCAAGACAACAAUAUCAUGGGAAAAGCUUCGUUGGAAAUCAUGUUCACAAAGCCUGCAAGAUUAACAUCAUUGACAAAUUGAUGACUGGUAUGAACUCUGCCCUUAAAAAUGAGCUAGAAGAAUGCCCGAUCAGCUCAGCAAAAAUUCUAAACACAGC
rnacentral:lncRNA from 1 species